UACGUAGGGGGCAAGCGUUGUCCGGAAUCAUUGGGCGUAAAGAGCGUGUAGGCGGCCCGGUAAGUCCGCUGUGAAAGUCGGGGGGCUCAACCCUCGGAUGCCGGUGGAUACUGUCGGGCUCGAGUACGGAAGAGGCGAGUGGAAUUCCUGGUGUAGCGGUGAAAUGCGCAGAUAUCAGGAGGAACACCAAUUGCGAAGGCAGCUCGCUGGGACGUUACUGACGCUGAGACGCGAAAGCGUGGGGAGCAAACAGG
rnacentral:rRNA from 1 species